rnacentral:rRNA from 2 species
GCCGCGUGAGCGAAGAAGGCCUUCGGGUCGUAAAGCUCUGUCCUAAGGGAAGAAAGAUGACGGUACCUUAGGAGGAAGCCCCGGCUAACUACGUGCCAGCAGCCGCGGUAAAACGUAGGGGGCGAGCGUUAUCCGGAAUGACUGGGCGUAAAGGGUGUGUAGGCGGCCGGUAAAGUCUGGGGUGAAAGGCUACGGCUUAACCGUAGUAAGCCUUGGAAACUUAUCGGCUUGAGUGCAGGAGAGGAGAGCGGAAUUCCUAGUGUAGCGGUGAAAUGCGUAGAUAUUAGGAGGAACACCAGUGGCGAAGGCGGCUCUCUGGACUGCAACUGACGCUGAGGCACGAAAGCGUGGGGAGCGAACAGGAUUAGAUACCCUGGUAGUCCACGCCGUAAACGAUGAGUGCUAGGUGUUGGAGGUUUAUACCUCCGUGGCGCAAGUUAAGCAUUUAGUCCUUCCGCUGGGGAGGACCGGCGCCAGACUUAAACUUAAAAGAAUUUACCGGGUCAUUACUUGUUCCUGG